rnacentral:rRNA from 1 species
ACUCCUACGGGAGGCAGCAGUGGGGAAUCUUCCGCAAUGGACGAAAGUCUGACGGAGCAACGCCGCGUGAACGAUGACGGCCUUCGGGUUGUAAAGUUCUGUUAUACGGGACGAAUGGUACGACGGUUAAUACCCGUCGUAAGUGACGGUACCGUAAGAGAAAGCCACGGCUAACUACGUGCCAGCAGCCGCGGUAAUACGUAGGUGGCAAGCGUUGUCCGGAAUUAUUGGGCGUAAAGGGCGCGCAGGCGGCGUCGUAAGUCGGUCUUAAAAGUGCGGGGCUUAACCCCGUGAGGGGACCGAAACUGCGAUGCUAGAGUAUCGGAGAGGAAAGCGGAAUUCCUAGUGUAGCGGUGAAAUGCGUAGAUAUUAGGAGGAACACCAGUGGCGAAAGCGGCUUUCUGGACGACAACUGACGCUGAGGCGCGAAAGCCAGGGGAGCAAACGGGAUUAGAUACCCCGGUAGUCCUGGCCGUAAACGAUGGAUACUAGGUGUAGGAGGUAUCGACCCCUUCUGUGCCGGAGUUAACGCAAUAAGUAUCCCGCCUGGGGAGUACGGCCGCAAGGCUGAAACUCAAAUGAAUUGACGGAWRUCGA